rnacentral:rRNA from 1 species
AACUUGCCCCGGAGUUCGGAAUAGCCUUCCUAACGGAUGGGUAAUACCGAAUGCCGUAUCAGGGGGCAUCCUCUUGAUACGAAAGUUACGGCGCUCCGGAGGGGCCCACGUAGGUAUUAGCUAGUUGGUGAGGUAACGGCUCACCAAGGCCAAGAUGCUUAGCAGGUGUGAGAGCACGACCUGCGCCACUGGCACUGGGACACUGGCCAGACUCCUACGGGAGGCUGCAGUCGAGGAUCUUUCGGGCAAUGGGCGCAAGCCUGACCGAGCGAUGCCGCGUGUGCGAUGAAGGCCUUCGGGUUGUAAAGCACUGUCGAGGGAGAGAAAAGCCCGCAAGGGUUUGAUCGAUCCCUGGAGGAAGCACGGGCUAAGUUCGUG